GCGGGAAUAGCUCAGAGGUAGAGCACAACCUUGCCAAGGUUGGGGUCGCGGGUUCGAAUCUCGUUUCCCGCUCCA
rnacentral:tRNA from 2 species